UAUUAGAAUGGUAACUUGUAAAUACUAAAAUAAACUAGACUAUUGUAAUAGAAUACUCAAUGUGUAAUGUAACAGGAUUUUAGAAAAAUAAAAUUCAUUGCAUGUAUUGAUUGUUUCCUUAAAAAAUAAUAUUUAAGAGGGGUUAAAAAAUUUGGCAUGGGCAGUGUAUUUGAUGGAGUUAGGAAUUUAAAUGAAGGAGAAGAAUGAAAAUAUUCUUUUAUUUCCACUGACUGAGCAUAAGAAUAAUGAUAUUCAA
rnacentral:misc_RNA from 1 species